rnacentral:rRNA from 1 species
UACGUAGGGCGCAAGCGUUGUCCGGAAUUAUUGGGCGUAAAGAGCUCGUAGGUGGUUUGUUACGUCUGCUGUGAAAACCUAGGGCUUAACCCUGGGCCUGCAGUGGAUACGGGCAGACUAGAGGUAGGUAGGGGAGAAUGGAAUUCCCGGUGUAGCGGUGAAAUGCGCAGAUAUCGGGAGGAACACCGGUGGCGAAGGCGGUUCUCUGGGCAACAACUGACGCUGAGGAGCGAAAGCGUGGGGAGCGAACAGG